rnacentral:rRNA from 1 species
CCUACGGGUGGCAGCAGUGGGGAAUAUUGGACAAUGGGCGAAAGCCUGAUGCAGCAAUGCAGCGUGAAGGAUGACGGUUUUCGGAUUGUAAAAUUCUUUUGUAAGGGACGAAGAACGUGCCGGUUCCGUAAGAAUAUGCCUCGGAUAACUACGUGCCAGCGGCCGCGGUAAUCCGUAGGUGGCAAGCGUUAUCCGGAUUUACUGGGUGUAAAGGGGGCGUAGGUGGGAUGGGCAGUCAGAUGUGAAAACUAGGGGCUCAACCGAUAGAUUGCAUUUGAAACUGGAGUUCUUGAGUAAUGGAGAGGUAGGCGGAAUUCCCGGUGUAGCGGUGGAAUGCUUAGAUAUCGGGAGGAACACCAGUGGCGAAGGCAG